rnacentral:tRNA from 1 species
AGCUAGGUGGCUCAGUGGAUAGAGUGCUGGACCUGGAAUCAGGAAGACCUGAGUUCAAAUCUAGCCUUAGCCA